rnacentral:rRNA from 1 species
AGGGCGCACAGUAGAUGCCUUGGCACUAGAAGCCGAUGAAGGACGUUACUAACGACGAUAUGCUUUGGGGAGCUGUAAGUAAGCUUUGAUCCAGAGAUUUCCGAAUGGGGAAACCCAGCAUGAGUUAUGUCAUGUUAUCGAUAUGUGAAUACAUAGCAUAUCAGAAGGCACACCCGGAGAACUGAAACAUCUUAGUACCCGGAGGAAGAGAAAGAAAAUUCGAUUCCCUUAGUAGCGGCGAGCGAAACGGGAAGAGCCCAAACCAACAAGCUUGCUUGUUGGGGUUGUAGGACACUCUAUACGGAGUUACAAAGGACGACAUUAGACGAAUCAUCUGGAAAGAUGAAUCAAAGAAGGUAAUAAUCCUGUAGUCGAAAAUGUUGUCUCUCUUGAGUGGAUCCUGAGUACGACGGAGCACGUGAAAUUCCGUCGGAAUCUGGGAGGACCAUCUCCUAAGGCUAAAUACUCUCUAGUGACCGAUAGUGAACCAGUACCGUGAGGGAAAGGUGAAAAGCACCCCGGAAGGGGAGUGAAAUAGAACCUGAAACCGUGUGCUUACAAGUAGUCAGAGCCCGUUAAUGGGUGAUGGCGUGCCUUUUGUAGAAUGAACCGGCGAGUUACGAUUUGAUGCAAGGUUAAGCAGUAAAUGUGGAGCCGUAGCGAAAGCGAGUCUGAAUAGGGCGUUUAGUAUUUGGUCGUAGACCCGAAACCAGGUGAUCUACCCUUGGUCAGGUUGAAGUUCAGGUAACACUGAAUGGAGGACCGAACCGACUUACGUUGAAAAGUGAGCGGAUGAACUGAGGGUAGCGGAGAAAUUCCAAUCGAACCUGGAGAUAGCUGGUUCUCUCCGAAAUAGCUUUAGGGCUAGCCUCAAGUGAUGAUUAUUGGAGGUAGAGCACUGUUUGGACGAGGGGCCCCUCUCGGGUUACCGAAUUCAGACAAACUCCGAAUGCCAAUUAAUUUAACUUGGGAGUCAGAACAUGGGUGAUAAGGUCCGUGUUCGAAAGGGAAACAGCCCAGACCACCAGCUAAGGUCCCAAAAUAUAUGUUAAGUGGAAAAGGAUGUGGCGUUGCCCAGACAACUAGGAUGUUGGCUUAGAAGCAGCCAUCAUUUAAAGAGUGCGUAAUAGCUCACUAGUCGAGUGACACUGCGCCGAAAAUGUACCGGGGCUAAACAUAUUACCGAAGCUGUGGAUUGUCCUUUGGACAAUGGUAGGAGAGCGUUCUAAGGGCGUUGAAGCAUGAUCGUAAGGACAUGUGGAGCGCUUAGAAGUGAGAAUGCCGGUGUGAGUAGCGAAAGACGGGUGAGAAUCCCGUCCACCGAUUGACUAAGGUUUCCAGAGGAAGGCUCGUCCGCUCUGGGUUAGUCGGGUCCUAAGCUGAGGCCGACAGGCGUAGGCGAUGGAUAACAGGUUGAUAUUCCUGUACCACCUAUAAUCGUUUUAAUCGAUGGGGGGACGCAGUAGGAUAGGCGAAGCGUGCGAUUGGAUUGCACGUCUAAGCAGUAAGGCUGAGUAUUAGGCAAAUCCGGUACUCGUUAAGGCUGAGCUGUGAUGGGGAGAAGACAUUGUGUCUUCGAGUCGUUGAUUUCACACUGCCGAGAAAAGCCUCUAGAUAGAAAAUAGGUGCCCGUACCGCAAACCGACACAGGUAGUCAAGAUGAGAAUUCUAAGGUGAGCGAGCGAACUCUCGUUAAGGAACUCGGCAAAAUGACCCCGUAACUUCGGGAGAAGGGGUGCUCUUUAGGGUUAACGCCCAGAAGAGCCGCAGUGAAUAGGCCCAAGCGACUGUUUAUCAAAAACACAGGUCUCUGCUAAACCGUAAGGUGAUGUAUAGGGGCUGACGCCUGCCCGGUGCUGGAAGGUUAAGAGGAGUGGUUAGCUUCUGCGAAGCUACGAAUCGAAGCCCCAGUAAACGGCGGCCGUAACUAUAACGGUCCUAAGGUAGCGAAAUUCCUUGUCGGGUAAGUUCCGACCCGCACGAAAGGCGUAACGAUUUGGGCACUGUCUCAACGAGAGACUCGGUGAAAUCAUAGUACCUGUGAAGAUGCAGGUUACCCGCGACAGGACGGAAAGACCCCGUGGAGCUUUACUGUAGCCUGAUAUUGAAAUUCGGCACAGCUUGUACAGGAUAGGUAGGAGCCUUUGAAACGUGAGCGCUAGCUUACGUGGAGGCGCUGGUGGGAUACUACCCUAGCUGUGUUGGCUUUCUAACCCGCACCACUUAUCGUGGUGGGAGACAGUGUCAGGCGGGCAGUUUGACUGGGGCGGUCGCCUCCUAAAAGGUAACGGAGGCGCUCAAAGGUUCCCUCAGAAUGGUUGGAAAUCAUUCAUAGAGUGUAAAGGCAUAAGGGAGCUUGACUGCGAGACCUACAAGUCGAGCAGGGUCGAAAGACGGACUUAGUGAUCCGGUGGUUCCGCAUGGAAGGGCCAUCGCUCAACGGAUAAAAGCUACCCCGGGGAUAACAGGCUUAUCUCCCCCAAGAGUUCACAUCGACGGGGAGGUUUGGCACCUCGAUGUCGGCUCAUCGCAUCCUGGGGCUGUAGUCGGUCCCAAGGGUUGGGCUGUUCGCCCAUUAAAGCGGUACGCGAGCUGGGUUCAGAACGUCGUGAGACAGUUCGGUCCCUAUCCGUCGUGGGCGUAGGAAAUUUGAGAGGAGCUGUCCUUAGUACGAGAGGACCGGGAUGGACAUACCUCUGGUGUACCAGUUGUCGUGCCAACGGCAUAGCUGGGUAGCUAUGUGUGGACGGGAUAAGUGCUGAAAGCAUCUAAGCAUGAAGCCCCCCUCAAGAUGAGAUUUCCCAACUUCGGUUAU